rnacentral:tRNA from 1 species
GUUUUAAUAGUUUAAGUAAAACAUUGGCCUUGUAAGUCAAAAAUAAGAAAAAUCUUUUAAAACU